AUGUCAGCAUAACACAAAGAAACCCGACCCGAGAACCAGGAAUCUCUCUCUCUUCCCGUCAUUUUGCCCUAACCCUAUCUCAGGAAAUUCCCAAUUUCUAAAUUUCUCAUCUUCUUCCCACAAGCCCCUCGUUGAAUUUGCUAGCUACCUCUUCAUGUCGCGGCAUUUCGGUCGACAACCCUUCAAUCAAAUCUUUCUCAUAUUUCAGAUACGUGGGUUUUCAAAACCAUAUAUCGUCCAUAGCAGCCUGCAAUCACAACUUUCCCUUUUUAAUACACCUGCUUCACUUGCUCCAAUUUUAAAGUGCCCAAAAAAAUUUUCACUUGCGUAAUUUCCUCACGAAAAUGUCUUCCAUCGGAACUUCAAAGGGAAUCCUGGAAAUCGGAAAGUUCGCUUUCUAUGUCUCAAUCCCGAUUGAUCUGAUGUAUACUUUGGCAAACAAUUCCGAGAAUAUGAAGAAACUCGUCCAGAAGGUGGAUCAUGAGAGACAAAACUGAGGUGCAGAAUGGAAGACGAAUGUUGUGUGACAGAGAGUAUUCUUUGCAAUACUCGGUCAAAAUGGAGUUGGUUUGAGGUGAAUUUAGGUUAAAAGAUGAGUACUCCGGAUGCAACUCGAGCAGAACUUGCUCUUGUGAUUUUGUAUUUGAACAAAGCUGAAGCUAGGGAUAAGAUAUGCAGGGCAAUACAAUAUGGUUUGAAAAUUUGGAGUGAUGGACAGCCUGGUACUGCCCAAAAUGUUGACAAAUCAACCAGCUUGGCAUGGAAAGUUUUCCAUCUUUUAAGGUUGGGUGAUACCGUACAUUGUGGUGUAAAACUUUUAUCUAUAUAUAUAUAUAUAUAUAUAU